rnacentral:rRNA from 1 species
AUACGUAGGGGGCAAGCGUUGUCCGGAAUUAUUGGGCGUAAAGCGCGCGCAGGCGGUUCUUUAAGUCUUGUGUUUAAGCCCGGGGCUCAACCCCGGUACGCAUGGGAAACAGGGGGACUGGAGUGCAGGAGAGGAAAGUGGAAUUCCACGUGUAGCGGUGAAAUGCGUAGAGAUGUGGAGGAACACCAGUGGCGAAGGCGACUUUCUGGCCUGUAACUGACGCUGAGGCGCGAAAGCGUGGGGAGCCAACAGGAUUAGAUACCCUGGUAGUCCACGCCGUAAACGAUGAGUUCUAGGUGUCGGGGGUUUCGAUGCCCUCGGUGCCGAAGUCAACACAAUAAGCACUCCGCCUGGGGAGUACGCUCGCAAGAGUGAA